CAGACCCCAGGAUCUAGUUUCCAGGACACUCAGUCCCUCAUUGUUGAAGAUGUGAUCUUGGAAGAGCAGCUGUCUGCAUUGUGUUGACAUGAGCUUUACUCUGGACUUUUAAAUCACCCAGUCCUUGGAGUCAACACUGUGGUCGACGAUUCUUAAAGAUUUUGGUGCCAGGAUCUGCAAGCUGGGAACCACAUGUGGAAGAAGAGAAAAGACACACAAGGCUACACACUCCACCAGCCAGACCUGCUUCAUCUUCUCAGCUCUGUACAACAGG